UUCUUCAUAGUCGAUCGAUGGCCACCUUCACAAGAACAUAAGUGAGUUUAUUCAUGCAAUCAAAUUUAAUUAUUUAUGUACGAUUUUCUUUUUCAGUUUUCUGAGUGUUUGAUUUUGUGUUUUUUUUUAUUUUAUAAUUAAUUAGUGGUUGGAAUGGACACUUAUAUUCAGUUACAACUGUUUGGUUGUUGAGAAAUUAUAGGAUACUUGGUUCAAUGUUUUCUGGUGUGAGGAUGAACUUCAAAUUAAAAAAUUUAAUGGGUUAUUUUUAUUUUUGUUUCUGUUCAAUAAUGAAACCCAACUUUAGUUGGCAGUUUGACCAACAUCAAAUUAUUUUCAGUAUGAUUUCUGUAGACCUAACGGUUUUUGGUGCUAUUAAUUCCCUCAGGAAUGAGGAUAUAGUAAGACUAAAAGGAUUGUUUGGAUGGGGAAAUCACAUGUGCAUCCUAUGCUUAAUGUGGAGUUAUAUAGACUUUUUUGUGAAUAUUAUUAAACAAACUGUAGGAUAG
rnacentral:lncRNA from 1 species